rnacentral:rRNA from 1 species
ACCCGUCUUAAACACGGACCAAGGAGUCUAACAUGUGUGCGAGUUUUUGGGUGGCAAACCCAUGAGCGUAAUGAAAGUGAAUGCAGGUGGGAUCGCAAGGGUGCACCAUCGACCGAUCCUGAUGUCUUCGGAUGGAUUUGAGUAAGAGCAUAGCUGUUGGGACCCGAAAGAUGGUGAACUAUGCCUGAAUAGGGUGAAGCCAGAGGAAACUCUGGUGGAGGCUCGCA